rnacentral:rRNA from 1 species
GAUGAACGCUGGCGGCGUGCUUAACACAUGCAAGUCGAACGGGAAUUAUUUUAUUGAAACUUCGGUCGAUUUAAUUUAAUUCUAGUGGCGGACGGGUGAGUAACGCGUGGGUAACCUGCCUUAUACAGGGGGAUAACAGUCAGAAAUGACUGCUAAUACCGCAUAAGCGCACAGGACCGCAUGGUCCGGUGUGAAAAACUCCGGUGGUAUAAGAUGGACCCGCGUUGGAUUAGCUUGUUGGUGGGGUAACGGCCCACCAAGGCGACGAUCCAUAGCCAGGCUGAGGGGGUGAACGGCCACAUUGGGACUGAGACACGGCCCAGACUCCUACGGGAGGCAGCAGUGGGGAAUAUUGCACAAUGGGGGAAACCCUGAUGCAGCGACGCCGCGUGAAGGAAGAAGUAUCUCGGUAUGUAAACUUCUAUCAGCAGGGAAGAUAGUGACGGUACCUGACUAAGAAGCCCCGGCUAACUACGUGCCAGCCGCCGCGGUAA